rnacentral:rRNA from 1 species
ACGGAAGGCAGCAGUGAGGAAUAUUGGUCAAUGGAGGCAACUCUGAACCAGCCAUCUCGCGUGAAGGAAUACGGCCCUAUGGGUCUUAAACUUCUUUUAUAGGGGGAUAAAGUGAGGCAUGUAUGCCUUUUUGUAGGUACCCUAUGAAUAAGCAUCGGCUAACUCCGUGCCAGCAGCCGCGGUAAUACGGAGGAUGCGAGCGUUAUCCGGAUUUAUUGGGUUUAAAGGGUGCGCAGGCGGCACGUUAAGUCAGCGGUGAAAUGCAGGGGCUCAACCCCGGCACUGCCGUUGAAACUGGCGAGCUCGAGUACGGAUGAAGUCGGCGGAAUGUGAUGUGUAGCGGUGAAAUGCUUAGAUAUGACGAAGAACACCGAUUGCGUAGGCAGCAGACCAGGCCGUAAAUGACGCUCAUGCACGAAAGUGCGGGGAUCGAACAGGAUUAGAUACCCUGGUA